UUUGGGGGUUUGCAGUGGGAGGACUGAGGCCCAGCGGUGAACCUCUUCCCUUCCUCCCUGAACAGCCCUGCUCUGCUGGUCCUCUGUGGGGACCAUGGAGGGGUCGUGGGGCCGUGGAGGGGUCGUGGGGCCGUGGAGGCCACCACCCCUCUGCUGUCAGGAUUCUGGAGGGAGAGUAUGGCUUCUGUCCUCUUAGACUGAGCCAAGGGAAGAGGCCAGGGGGCCGUGUUCCAGCUGAAGCAAAGGCAAAUGUGGACCCAGCAAUCCUUGUCUUAGCGCUGCUGGGGGCCAUAUGGGCCAUAGGUUGGGAUGAGGGAUCAGGGCCCCAUCCUCUGCCCUCUGCAUCCAGUAGAGGUGCAGUGUCAGAAGGAGCACACCCGCAGAGGAGCAGAGCCAGGGAGGAGACCAGAACCCGUGCCAGAGGAGUAUGUGACUUGGAGUUCAGAAGACCCAGGGGGACCUGAGAACUGCCUUCAAGGAAGCAGAGGGAUUUGUUUUCUCGACUGCUUUGAGAGCCCCUCAGAAGGCAGGGAACCUGUCCAGGCCCUCCUUUGGCUGGAAGAAACCGGUGGCAACCUUGAGCAGAUCUGUUCUGACACACACAUUAUGUCCCUUAAUGCUCUCCAGCCCACAAGUGGCCUCUGGAUCCCAGCCUGGCCUCCCAGCUCUGACAGCACUGACUUGGAGGCUACAGAGGGAGCUCUUUGGAAUACAAAGACCUCUGGACCCUCCUGAUCCCAGCUGGUGCCACAUUCUCAUGCUAAUACAGAGAGUUUGCCAGUAGCUCCUAGAAGAAUUCGCUGCUGUAGGAAAUCCACCCCAAGCCUUCCUCCUGGCGACCGGGACAGUGUCUCUGGGGUCCUUUCCAGCCUGGCCUCCUGGGACCCAGCACUGGGUUCCGGCCCCACACCCAGCAGUCCUGGUAAGUUCCCUGGUGGGCUGGGUAGAGUCCACAGCUCCUGUCGUCCAUGGAGCUGGCCGGUAGCCCCUUCCCAAUCUCCCCAUGCAAGUAACAAUCCGCUUGACCAUGACACUCGCCUCGCCUCACCCUGCUGGUGCCAAAGGUGCUUCACGCACCUCAGUUCGCUCCUGUAACGCUCACCGAGCAGCCCGUGGGAACGAGGCUCACAGAGGAAGGCUCUUUGCCCCCGACUCUGUAGCUGUAGCUUCAGGAUCCAAAUAGGGUAUGCACCCCAGGACUCCAGCUCCUGGACCUUUUGGCUCCACACUAGGUUCACGGGCUGGUGGCAUUAGAGACCCGGUGAGACGCAAGGUGGCACCGGGGAGGCCUGGUAACUAGGUGAGGGAGGUGGGAUCUGACAUAGGCCAAGAUGGAGGCCCUGGGAGGUCGAGGCAUGGGCAGGACCCAGGUGUCUGAAAGGGGCCCAGGGAGGGUGGCUCAGGUCCUGAAGGCCCAACCCAGGUCAUGCUGGCGGGGGAGGGGCAGGCUGGGCAGGAGCUCUUAAAGGAGCUGACGUGGAUUUUAGUAAGGUGCUCUGCUAACCGCCUACAUGGCGUGCCGUGGGCAGGCCCCAGACCUGGACAACCUUUGCCUCCUUCUCGGCUUGGUGAACUCUUACUCAUCCUUCAACGCCCAAUUCAGAUAGCACCUCCCCUGCGAAGCCCCCCUGACUCCUCCAAGCUCACUCCCUCCUCUAUGCUCCCACUUCCCACGCCUCUAAGGCAUUGCCUAAGGGUAGGUCUACCUCCUCCUUCCCUAGCCUGGGAAGUCUUUGCUGGAAGGGCCCAUGCCUGACUCACCUGCAUGCCUCCAGCACCCAGCACAGGGCCUGGCCCUGAGAAAUAUUUAUAGAAUAUAAAUAUUGGCGUGAAUGUGCAGGAUGGUUCCAAUGGAGAAAGCCUGUGAUCUCCACUCUUGUAGGAUCUCUAACAGAAUGAAGCCACUUAAACCUAAGCAGGCAAACAACACCUAGAGCGAUGGAUGUCUCCCUGCUCGGCACAACCUUCUCUCUGCUCAUUGCUUGUUUCAGCCAGAGCCGUGGUAGACGCUUCUGGGCAAGUUCGGGUUCGCCCCGUCUUGGAAGUGUCCCUCCUCAAGCACACCCCUUGUCCCAUACCAGGAGAGCCCACUUGGCCCGUGAACAAACGCAAGCCAAAAGCGCAGGGGAACUAACACCCCGUGACAAUCCUCAGCCGAUGGGGAAUGGGAGCCUGUGGGUAAUGGCUCCAAUCCCCGCUUUUCAGGUGGACGGUUCUGGAGAGGAUCCUUGGGCUCCUCAGGGGUCAAGGCAGGCUGGAGCCGUACUCUCCACCAGAGAGACCUUGAGGGCAUUCUGUAUGCUGGCUGGUCCCCUCUCCCUGCUUGCUGUCCUACACCAUCAAACUUUCUGCUCUCGAGUCCUGGUCUCAGGUUCUGUUUUGGAGAAAACGUUUAUCAAGACAAUGAGCUACGCAGAAGAAAUUUCUUGACUGAAGACUCCUUCUCUCACCGGCUCUGACCCUGAUUCCUGGGGCUUCUUGUCCGACAAAACCCUAUCUUAACUUCCAAGGGGUCUCUGGGGUGUGUGCGAGGCUCCGUGGAGGAGACUUAUUCAGGGAAUUAUUUCCUGAAAUUAAACUCCACGGUCCCUGAGGGAAGGAGUGAAUGGGGCCCAGUGAUGCCGGGGUGGGGUGGGAAGUUGUUGGGGGUUUGAUGGGAAAGCCAUUGUGCUUUAAUUGUAUUGUGCACAUUAAACCAACAACUACAAGAGCAAAGGCGCGCGGUGGGAGGAGGCAGAGUGGAGAAACGGCUGGAAUGAGCUGGCAGGCAAGAGGGGGUGGGUCUGAGGAUUCAAGGGGGAUAAAGGAUUGGGGUUUAGGGAUCCCUUGGCCAGGCAAGGACACCCCACCCCACCUCUUACCAAUUGGAGUGUAGAGAAGCUAGUAGGCAGAGGGUAAGGACUGGAAGUCUGCUGAAUUGACCUUCUCCUAAGGCCAGGCUUUGUCCCAGGUGCUUUGUUGGAUCCCACUCACUUAUAAGCUGCUUUAUAUGCAUCACCAGAUGUAACUCACACAGCAAGCCUGUGAGGUGAGCACUUUUGCUGUUCUAAUUUCCCAUGAGAGAAUGGCACAGAGAGGCAAGUAACUUGCCCAAGGUCACACAGAGCUUUAACAACCCCAUCCACUCCAGGUGGGAGAUGAGCCUGAUCUCGAUAGUGGGAGGGGAAUUGGGGCCAGACCCAUGGUGAGGGACAGAGAAGCUGUUUUGGAGAAGCCCUGGGUCCUCGAUGCCUGUGGGUGGGGGCUAGAGAGCUCUGAGAGGAUCCAAGGCAUCAGGAAGGCUUCCUGGGAGGUAUGGAGGGACCUUGAUGACUACUUUCCCUCUCUGGACCCAAGAUACCUCAUCUGGAAAACAGGCUGUGGUAUCCCUGCUCCACUCCCUCCUUCUAGAGGUCCCUGGGAGGGAGUUUCAUGCUGCAGGGAGGGGGGGGUCAUCUGAGGGUGUGCUGGAGGGUGAUUAAGUAAGAUUCUCUCUGGGAAGGCUCAGGCUAGCAGGAAGCCAGAGAGGAAAAGGUGAUUCUCUGUGGGAGCCCAGGAGGGUACCUCACUCUGCUAGACCUGCCCAGUGUUCCUGGGGAGGAGCUCUUGGGACCCUUCUCUUCCCUGUCAAGUGGGCUAGGUUCCCAGUAGGCAGGGCUGGUGAAUUAGUCGGACAGACAUGGCCCUCCCCACCAUGCCAUCACAGAAGCUUCAGACUCUGGGCAGCUCUGCCCCAGCUUGGCCACCCUACCUGCUGGACACCUGCGUGGUGCGCCUGCCGGGGCCUGUCUUCCAAAAUCCGGAGUGUGACCGCUGGAAGAGCCCCUUCUGGAUCCCAAGCCUCCAACCAGACUCCCAAUGUUCCCUUGUCGGUCCAAAUGUCCCAAAUGCUUACCGAGGAGACCGUGAUCUGAGGAUGGCUCCCAGGAGCCCAGCAGCAAGGACCUGCUGAACACGUGGGGGCACUGGCCAUUGUUUUGAAUGUGAACUUCCAUCCCUAGUGUGUGACCAGGUCUGGGGGUGGGGGGGGCAGGGUCUGUGACCAGGCUCAUGGCUCCUUGUGUGACUGUGUUCAGAGUUCAGCCUGGAGCUGCUGUCAGAAGGGAAAGUCUCUAGGAACUGACUUGCCUUGAAGCGGGGUUCCAGGGGCACAGGGACAGCCUGCUAGGAGCAGUGGAAGGUAAUCCUUAGGAGAAGGAGCUGUGGGGUCCAGAUCCCGGGUGCAGCCCCGUCCCGGGCUGGAUGCAGAUCCUUGCUCACCACCGGCCAACUCUUACCUUGGGCAACGUCCUUAGCCUCUAAACCCUCCGUGGCUCUGGAAGUGGGGAUGUGCCUCAUAGCUUGGGAAGGCUGAAUGAAGUGACAAGCGGCUAGCUCUGAGGCUGACACAUGGUGAGUGUCAGGAAACAUUAGCCUCUGUGCAUAUGCGUGCCAUUGUCAUGGUCCUGCAGGCUCUGGGGCUCACUGCGUCACAGCUGGUCCCAACACUG